CUUGGUACAGUUAACGUGAGAAAAAUAGAUAAGUGGUAGAGACCAAAUAAAAGAAAAUUAGAAAUAAAUAACCAUGUUAUUCAGUGCUUGAUAAAUUCAAGAGCAUAAGAAGGGUCGGAGGGGAGGAAUAGAACUCCUUGUUCAUCAAGAACUACUGGGAAAACUGGAAAAUCAUGCAGCAGAGAAUCUAUUAAGACAUGUAAGAUGUAGACGUACACGGGAAAUCGAACCAAUACAAAAUAGUCACCAAGGGCAAGGAGGUCAAAAGAACCCAGAAAUCACCUCAGCCAGCAAACACUGGAUCUCCUUGUGAAGUCGAGAGACAAGGCAGCCAAGGGCAACACUGGUUUUGAGAGAACAGGGUUGGAGUUGGCUGGCUGGUAACUCCCCCAUAAAGAGGCAGUGUUCCAGAGAAAUGGCUGGUCUGGAUGUCCCACAGAUGGGGAGGUGAGUUUUGCUAACAUACACUGUACAGGAGCUGUUCUAUUUGGAGCCUUCU
rnacentral:lncRNA from 1 species